CAGUCGCCACGGUAAUACGUAGGUGGCAAGCGUUAUCCGGAAUUAUUGGGCGUAAAGCGCGCGUAGGCGGUUUUUUAAGUCUGAUGUGAAAGCCCACGGCUCAACCGUGGAGGGUCAUUGGAAACUGGAAAACUUGAGUGCAGAAGAGGAAAGUGGAAUUCCAUGUGUAGCGGUGAAAUGCGCAGAGAUAUGGAGGAACACCAGUGGCGAAGGCGACUUUCUGGUCUGUAACUGACGCUGAUGUGCGAAAGCGUGGGGAUCAAACAGGAUUAGAUACCCCGGUAGUCCCUGUCUCUUAUAC
rnacentral:rRNA from 1 species